GAAUUGCACAUUACUUUACCCUUUAUAAAGACAAUCUAACUCUUCAGCUGGGUGUUCGGCCGGCGAGUUUCCACACGCAUUCAACAUGCGGAUUGAAAAGUGUUAUUUCUGUUCGGGCCCUAUCUACCCAGGCCACGGCAUGAUGUUCAUUCAUAAUGAUUGCAAGGUGUUCAGAUUUUGUAAAUCCAAGUGCCAUAAAAACUUCAAAAAGAAGCGCAAUCCUCGCAAGGUCAGAUGGACUAAAGCGUUCCGGAAAGCAGCUGGUAAAGAGCUCACGGUGGAUAAUUCAUUUGAAUUUGAAAAACGUAGAAAUGAACCUGUUAAAUACCAGCGAGCACUAUGGAAUAAAACCAUUGAUGCAAUGAAGAGAGUUGAAGAGAUCAAACAGAAGCGACAAGCUAAAUUUAUAAUGAACAGGUUCAAGAAAAGUAAAGAACUACAGAAAGUUCAGGACGUUAAAGAGGUCAAGCAAAACAUCCAUCUUAUCCGGGCCUCUCUUGCAGGCAAAGGAAAGCAGCUGGAAGACAAAAUGGUACAGAAAUUACAAGAGGAUGUGGACAUGGAGGAUGUUUCUUAAAACUCUUACUGUCUGUAAGCAAUUCUUUAAGUGCAUCUGGAAAUCUUCUUUGGAGACUUAGAACUUGUAAAUUGUUGAUCUUUUUUUUCCCCUACGUGUCACUCAGAUGAAAGGGGAGUAAAUACUUCUGUCCUACAUUGAUAUCUGCAGAACAGCAAAUAUUAUUAUGGAUGCUAGGUUGCAUCUCAACGUUAAACCUUCACUGAGAGACAUACUUUUAUAAGUCAUGAAAACUGUUUGUAAAUACAGAAGUGAAUUGUGGACAUAAAAUGGUCAUGCCAUUUGGUUAAUGGCAUUGGACAGCAUUUAUGUUAUAAUGACAAAUUCAUGACUAGUAAUAUAUAUAAAAUAAAAUUUUCUUUGCAGUAAAAUAUUUCCUUUAUUAAUGUUCUGGAUGGGAUACAGCAAGGAACUAACAAUCUGUAUGAUAAUUAGCCUCAAGUAAUAUCUUUUCUUUUGAUGUUAAUAUUUCUGGUUUUGGUUUAUUAGCAUCUUAGAAGAACAUAAUGGUCCAAUAUAUUGAAGCCUAAUUAUGUUGGACUGUUUUGAUGUGGUUUAACUAUUGUGAUAGUCAUUUGUGGAUGUUGAGGGUGGGUUGAGCAGUCUGUUCCUGAAAUGGCGUUGUGUAAUUUCCACUUUGGAGAAUACUCAAUAAGUUGGCAUUCCUAGUAGAAUAAACGUUAUUUUUCCAUGACUC